AUGGCGCGCCUUCUACCAGCGGCCGCGUUAGCCGCAGUCGCCGCGCUGGCCGUCCUGGCAAGCCCGGCGACGGCGCAGGAUGCGCCGUCGGCCUUGCCGGCGCCGCUGGCGUACAUGAACCACACGGUUGGGGGCGCCGACGGGUGGUUCUUCAACGCGACGAGCAACACCACGUCGGGCAACUACUCCUCCUGGGCCGCCGGCGAGACAUUCUACCUCGGCGACUACCUCAUAUUCAAGACGAACGAUAACUCGUCGGUGGUGGUCACCUCGAACUCCACCACCUACUCCCUCUGCGAUCCCAGCGAGGACGACGGGCUGGAGACCUACAUCUACAGCGGCGGCGUAAGCGGCCUCGAGGAGACAGACGCCAUCUCUGUCCCUCUCCUCUACGAGGGCACCAACUACUUCUUCUCGGAAGCCGACGGCGGCGUGCAGUGUCAGCAGGGCAUGCGCUUCCAGAUCAAGGUAGCCCACGGCCACGGCCUGCCGCCCGCUCUCGCCCACCCGCCGUCGCCACCGCCAAAGGAAGGCGCCCUCGCACCGGCACCCACUGGGCCAGCCUUCUCGGUCUCGCAGGGGCCGGUCGCCGCUAGUGCCAGCACCGGCGCCGGCACCGCCAGUGACUACACGGAUAGCAACAACGCUGGCUGUAGAGCGGUGGGCAGUCGUUUCUUGGGGGUUGCUAUUGUGGUUAGCUUAGCAUUUUUGGUUGCUCCCUGA
rnacentral:rRNA from 1 species